rnacentral:rRNA from 1 species
UGCAGUCGAACGAUGAAACCGCUUCGGUGGUGGAUUAGUGGCGAACGGGUGAGUAACACGUGGGCAAUCUGCCCUUCACUCUGGGACAAGCCCUGGAAACGGGGUCUAAUACCGGAUAACACUCCUGCCUGCAUGGGUGGGGGUUGAAAGCUCCGGCGGUGAAGGAUGAGCCCGCGGCCUAUCAGCUUGUUGGUGGGGUAAUGGCCUACCAAGGCGACGACGGGUAGCCGGCCUGAGAGGGCGACCGGCCACACUGGGACUGAGACACGGCCCAGACUCCUACGGGAGGCAGCAGUGGGGAAUAUUGCACAAUGGGCGAAAGCCUGAUGCAGCGACGCCGCGUGAGGGAUGACGGCCUUCGGGUUGUAAACCUCUUUCAGCAGGGAAGAAGCGCAAGUGACGGUACCUGCAGAAGAAGCGCCGGCUAACUACGUGCCAGCAGCCGCGGUAAUACGUAGGGCGCAAGCGUUGUCCGGAAUUAUUGGGCGUAAAGAGCUCGUAGGCGGCUUGUCACGUCGGAUGUGAAAGCCCGGGGCUUAACCCCGGGUCUGCAUUCGAUACGGGCUAGCUAGAGUGUGGUAGGGGAGAUCGGAAUUCCUGGUGUAGCGGUGAAAUGCGCAGAUAUCAGGAGGAACACCGGUGGCGAAGGCGGAUCUCUGGGCCAUUACUGACGCUGAGGAGCGAAAGCGUGGGGAGCGAACAGGAUUAGAUACCCUGGUAGUCCACGCCGUAAACGUUGGGAACUAGGUGUUGGCGACAUUCCACGUCGUCGGUGCCGCAGCUAACGCAUUAAGU